AACAGAGGUCUCAAGCGUUGUUCGGAUUCAUUGGGCGUAAAGGGUGCGUAGGCGGCGCGGUAAGUCGGGUGUGAAAUCUCGGAGCUUAACUCCGAAACUGCAUUCGAUACUGCCGUGCUUGAGGACUGGAGAGGAGACUGGAAUUUACGGUGUAGCGGUGAAAUGCGUAGAUAUCGUAAGGAAGACCAGUGGCGAAGGCGGGUCUCUGGACAGUUCCUGACGCUGAGGCACGAAGGUCAGGGGAGCAAACAGG
rnacentral:rRNA from 1 species